rnacentral:piRNA from 1 species
CAGGUUUUGUGAGAUGUGCUGUG